AUUGAACGCUGGCGGCAGGCUUAACACAUGCAAGUCGAGCGGAGAUGAGGUGCUUGCAACCUAUCUUAGCGGCGGACGGGUGAGUAAUGCUUAGGAAUCUGCCUAUUAGUGGGGGACAACAUUCCGAAAGGAAUGCUAAUACCGCAUACGCCCUACGGGGGAAAGCAGGGGAUCUUCGGACCUUGCGCUAAUAGAUGAGCCUAAGUCGGAUUAGCUAGUGGGUGGGGUAAAGGCCUACCUAGGCGACGAUCUGUAGGGGGUCUGAGAGGAUGAUCCGCCACACUGGGACUGAGACACGGCCCAGACUCCUACGGGAGGCAGCAGUGGGGAAUAUUGGACAAUGGGCGGAAGCCUGAUCCAGCCAUGCCGCGUGUGUGAAGAAGGCCUUUUGGUUGUAAAGCACUUUAAGCGAGGAGGAGGCUACUUGGAUUAAUACUCUAGGAUAGUGGACGUUACUCGCAGAAUAAGCACCGGCUAACUCUGUGCCAGCCGCCGCGGUAA
rnacentral:rRNA from 1 species